UACCAUGCAAGUCGAGCGGGGGAAGGUAGCUUGCUACUGGACCUAGCGGCGGACGGGUGAGUAAUGCUUAGGAAUCUGCCUAUUAGUGGGGGACAACAUCUCGAAAGGGAUGCUAAUACCGCAUACGUCCUACGGGAGAAAGCAGGGGAUCUUCGGACCUUGCGCUAAUAGAUGAGCCUAAGUCGGAUUAGCUAGUUGGUGGGGUAAAGGCCUACCAAGGCGACGAUCUGUAGCGGGUCUGAGAGGAUGAUCCGCCACACUGGGACUGAGACACGGCCCAGACUCCUACGGGAGGCAGCAGUGGGGAAUAUUGGACAAUGGGCGCAAGCCUGAUCCAGCCAUGCCGCGUGUGUGAAGAAGGCCUUAUGGUUGUAAAGCACUUUAAGCGAGGAGGAGGCUACUUUAGAUAAUACCUAGAGAUAGUGGACGUUACUCGCAGAAUAAGCACCGGCUAACUCUGUGCCAGCAGCCGCGGUAAUACAGAGGGUGCAAGCGUUAAUCGGAUUUACUGGGCGUAAAGCGCGCGUAGGCGGCUAAUUAAGUCAAAUGUGAAAUCCCCGAGCUUAACUUGGGAAUUGCAUUCGAUACUGGUUAGCUAGAGUGUGGGAGAGGAUGGUAGAAUUCCAGGUGUAGCGGUGAAAUGCGUAGAGAUCUGGAGGAAUACCGAUGGCGAAGGCAGCCAUCUGGCCUAACACUGACGCUGAGGUGCGAAAGCAUGGGGAGCAAACAGGAUUAGAUACCCUGGUAGUCCAUGCCGUAAACGAUGUCUACUAGCCGUUGGGGCCUUUGAGGCUUUAGUGGCGCAGCUAACGCGAUAAGUAGACCGCCUGGGGAGUACGGUCGCAAGACUAAAACUCAAAUGAAUUGACGGGGGCCCGCACAAGCGGUGGAGCAUGUGGUUUAAUUCGAUGCAACGCGAAGAACCUUACCUGGCCUUGACAUAGUAAGAACUUUCCAGAGAUGGAUUGGUGCCUUCGGGAACUUACAUACAGGUGCUGCAUGGCUG
rnacentral:rRNA from 1 species